ACCUACUUGGAGAAAUUGGUAAACUCGAAGAACUUAAAUUUCUUUGCCUAUGGCUUGAGGGUUCAAGUCCCUCAGUAGGUA
rnacentral:tRNA from 1 species